rnacentral:rRNA from 1 species
AGCAGCCGCCACGGUAAUACAGAGGGUGCGAGCGUUAAUCGGAUUUACUGGGCGUAAAGCGUGCGUAGGCGGCUUCUUAAGUCGGAUGUGAAAUCCCUGAGCUUAACUCAGGAAUUGCAUUCGAUACUGGGAAGCUAGAGUAUGGGAGAGGAUGGUAGAAUUCCAGGUGUAGCGGUGAAAUGCGUAGAGAUCUGGAGGAAUACCGAUGGCGAAGGCAGCCAUCUGGCCUAAUACUGACGCUGAGGUACGAAAGCAUGGGGAGCAAACAGGAUUAGAUACCCGCGUAGUCCCUGUCUCUUAUAC